CCAUAAUCAUAUCCAGCCUGAUUAGCAUUUGAAGAUGAAGGUUCUAAGUUUCUCCACAACAAACAAUGGUUACAUUAAUAAUGUGCAAGAAGGAAAAUGGAAUACCAAUCAGAAAUUCAGGUUUUGCAGAAAAAUAUUCGUAGACUGGAAGAACAUUUAAAAAAAGUAAAUAAAGACCUUUAUGCUGCUGAAAUGGCUUAUGAUGACGCCAAAACAAAACUGGAGGAUGUGACUGAAGGCAUUGUUAAAGAAAAAUCACGUUUCAAGAAUUUGGAAGAGAAUAUUAAAAAACAAAUUAGAGAUGAAAUAAGUGCUUGGAGGCUGACUCAGAAAAGAAUUAUAGCAUUACAAGCAGAGUUAGAAAGAAAGAAAAAGGAGCAUAGCAAAUUAGAGGAAAAGAUGAAGAGUAAAUUAAAAAAAUAUGAGCUGCUUUCAGCUGAACAAAUAGAAAUACUGGAAAAAAAUAAAGAUGUGCUCAAAGAACUUCUUGAGAAAAUAGCUGAAUUAAAUCAGAAGAUCAAAGAACUUGAUGACAAGGAGGAAAAUGUGAAAAACGAAUUAGAAAAUAAGAAGAAAUAUGUUAAGAACCUAUUAGAUGAUAAAAAGGAGAAAUAUUUAGGCAUUUCAAGCCAAUUUACUAAAGUCAAUGAGGAAAUUGCACAUUUACAAAAAGAAAUUGCAAAAUUAAGUGCUUUAAGGAAAGGACAAGAAAACCAGGUAGACAAUACAGAAAAAUGUGUAGUCAUGUUGAG
rnacentral:lncRNA from 1 species